CGCGUAGGCGGCCUUCUAAGUCGGACGUGAAAUCCCUCGGCUUAACCGAGGAACUGCGUCCGAUACUGAAAGGCUUGAAUCCGGGAGAGGGAUGUGGGAAUUCCAGGUGUAGCGGUGAAAUGCGUAGAUAUCUGGAGGAACACCGGUGGCGAAGGCGGCAUCCUGGACCGGCAUUGACGCUGAGGCGCGAAAGCUAGGGGAGCAAACGG
rnacentral:rRNA from 1 species